UAAAAACUGCAGACGAAGAAAGGUGUUUGCUUGCAGACGCAACCCCGAAAAACACUGCAUAUAUAAUACGAAAUGGGCUUAAAAGCAAAAUGGUGAACGGUACGUACCCGCCAAAAAGUUUGUAUUUGUUUUGUGGAAAUGUGGAAUAAAUCACCAUUUACUGGAUUUGAAGAAGCAUAAUGGCGUCAGUAUUUUGGUAGAAGGAAAUCGAAGGUAUGUAAUAGCUUUGGAUUCGAUCAUUUCUGAAUUUCGUAUUAAUCAAUAGGCGACUUUGAAUACAUUCCACGGUGUUGUAGACUGGCUAACUAUAGAACGGACCUAUUGAAUGCUAGUUCUUGGUUUUGUUUGCAGGUUUGCUUUAUUUUGUAAGGCGUUAGGUGCAGAGAUGAAGCAUGCCACAAAAAGUGGCAUCGCGGUAUAGCAUGCAAGAAAGAGAUGCGCAAGAAAGUCAAAGCCGAAGAGAAGAGUUUACUUUGGGAAAAGGGACUAUUAGGAGUCCGACAACAGCUGACUCGUUACUUCAUACUGUAUAUUUUUACAAUGGGAAAAUUUUUGGUCUGAGAGCUGGGGAGCAUAGAUUGCUUAGAAAGUGUAACAUAAUCACAUAUACUUUUCAUGGUGGAUUGAACGAUUUCACCAAAAGUCCUCGUUAAAGUGAAAGUUAAUGAUUAAUUAGCUCACUAAGACAUCUGUAUCAAAAUUAGAGAAUUAAUUAGCUGACUACGAGUCUGGGACAUCUCUAUCAAGAGUAAUUUAAGAAGUUAUAAUUCAUCAACCCCAGCUUUUCCCUGUUUUGAAUUCAAUAUCCCUCCCCAAGCUUAUGAGAAUGUUGAACUUCAGUUAUGGGGGAUUACAGAUGUAUACAUGUGACCAGUGGGUCCGAAAUGCUGCGCUGAGAUAAAAAUAAUUUAUUUUGAUUAACACUAAAUAUUUGUUAGAAAAGUGCUCAGUUGGGCCAUUUGAAUUUAAAUAAAAGAAAACCCUUCGUGUACAGGGUGUCCCCCAAAAAAGUGACACUAUAGAAAUUAUCC